CCUACGGGUGGCUGCAGUGGGGAAUAUUGGACAAUGGGGGCAACCCUGAUCCAGCCAUGCCGCGUGUGUGAAGAAGGCCCUCGGGUUGUAAAGCACUUUCAGUGAGGAAGAACGCCUGGUGGUUAAUACCCAUCAGGAAAGACAUCACUCACAGAAGAAGCACCGGCUAACUCCGUGCCAGCAGCCGCGGUAAUACGGAGGGUGCGAGCGUUAAUCGGAAUUACUGGGCGUAAAGCGCGCGUAGGUGGCUUGAUAAGCCGGUUGUGAAAGCCCCGGGCUCAACCUGGGAACGGCAUCCGGAACUGUCAAGCUAGAGUGCAGGAGAGGAAGGUAGAAUUCCCGGUGUAGCGGUGAAAUGCGUAGAGAUCGGGAGGAAUACCAGUGGCGAAGGCGGCCUUCUGGACUGACACUGACACUGAGGUGCGAAAGCGUGGGUAGCAAACAGGAUUAGAUACCCGUGUAGUU
rnacentral:rRNA from 1 species